rnacentral:lncRNA from 1 species
UUUUAAGUUAUGAGAAUUUAUUUUAUUCUUCUCUUUUAUGUUUUUUGCUGCCAAUCGUUAACAAUAAGUUUUAUUUCAAUGAUUUAUCAUGUAUUCCUAACUAUUAUUCUUUUGUUUUUCAAAUUCUCCUUAUCUAUAACAAAAGAAUAUAAGGGGAAUAAAAUAAUGAAACUUUAGUAGUAAUAAAAACUUCAAUAACUUUUAUGAUUUUUAAGUCAUGUAUUUACUAUGGGUUAAAAGAUCAAUUAGGUUAAUUGAAGAGACAAAUUCAACACAUUAAUACAACUAAAAGACAUUUAUUUUUUAUUUAUUUUUUAAAUGGUCCCUCGCAACCUCAUAAUUACUAAAGCAGUAUUUUACUGAAGAUAAUAAACACAUCGAAUCAUCUAAGAAAUAUGUCAAUAUAAUGUUAAAAUACAUUUAGUUUUUAUUUAUUUUUUAAAUGGUCCCUCGCAACCUCAUAAUUGCUAAAACACUAUUUUACUGAAGAUAAUAAACACAUCGAAUCAUCUAAGAAAUAUUUCAAUAUAGUUUUUUUCAACAUAAUUAAAAGUUGAAGAAUGUAAAUUUUCACAUUAUAAAGUGAUGAAACAACUUGGUAUUUUUCUUGCCAACAAGAAAAAAUAUGUCUAAGGUUAUUAAGUUUGUUUAUGUUAUGAUUACUUUACUUUUCUUAUUCAUCAAAAGUUCUUGUAACAUUGGUAAGCCCGCUUCGUUAGUUUUUACCCUUCAAAUUCUUUUUCUAUUCUAUACACAAUAUUUCAUUCUUAUUAUUGAUAUUUAUUUUUUAUUUUUUAUUUUUUUAAUAUCAUAGGAUUGGAUUUAUGCAGUACUGAUAAAGAUUGUCGUGCUACUAUUUGUUGGUUUACUAAAACUGCAAAGUGCAUAAAACACAUUUGUGAUUGUGUAUAAUAUUUAUUAUACAAAAAUCUUUCUAAUAAAUUAAUGGUUUAAAUGCAUUUUUAUGUUUCUUCUUUACAAACCUUCUUGCAAACAAGUAUUUCUCUUAAUAAAUAGCUAGUUAAAAACCUUGCAAACAAAGCAUUACCCAUUUUUUAUUUAUUUAUUCUCAUAAUGUAAUAUAAAAUUUCAAUAAUUUUUGUAUUUGAAUGAAAUAUAGAAGAUAUUACAAACUUUAAAAACAUAUUAUUUCAACGGCUUUAACAUACAAAU